rnacentral:rRNA from 1 species
AUACGGAGGGUGCAAGCGUUACUCGGAAUCACUGGGCGUAAAGCGCGCGCAGGCGGCCAUUUAAGUUGGAUGUGAAAGCCUACGGCUCAACCGUAGAACUGCAUCCAAAACUAUUUAGCUAGAGUGUGGGAGAGGAAGAUGGAAUUAGUUGUGUAGGGGUAAAAUCCGUAGAGAUAACUAGGAAUACCAAAAGCGAAGGCAAUCUUCUGGAACACUACUGACGCUGAGGCGCGAAAGCGUGGGGAGCAAACGGGAUUAGAUACCCUAGUAGUCC